GGCCGUUCGCGGCAACUUAGAACGCCAUGAUGGCAGCACUUUCCUUGCGAUAGUAACUUCUAGUAUUUUGCUUAUACUGUAUGUUGUAUUUGAGCCAAAGUAUACGGUAUACCACACUCAAUUUGACUCUUUAAACUAUUUGGCAGCUUCUCUCAAACAGCCAAAAAUAGUACGCGAGUUGAAAUAAAACACCUCAAAUAAUAUCGAACGGAAUUAUCUGUUAGAAAUGAUUGGAUCUCUUCGAGCCAGGUUCAACAUACCAAUAUUUCCAACUACUUGCAAAGCGAUUUCUCAUAUAAAGAUGUAAAAAGAAUAAAAACAGCUGGAUAGAAAUAAAAGGAAAAAAUAUUGAAAAUAUGAACUCGACGCGACUCGAACUCAAAGGUUUGUCGAGACAGUCCAAACGACCUGCCACUAAGCCACCGAGGGAGAACGAAAGUUUAUGUCAAAUUAAACACUAUAGCUAAUUGUCGUCACGCGCUUAUCUUAUGCGGUGAAAUAGUUUAUUAGGCGGUGAAUUGCGGUGAAGAAUAUAGGCCGUUCGAGGCAACUUAGAACGCCAUGAUGGCAGCAGAUUGCUUGCGAUAGUAACUUCUAGUAUAUUGCUUAUACUGUAUGUUGUAUUUGGGCCAAAGUAUACGGUAUACCACACUCAAUUUGACUCUUUAAACUAUUUGGCAGCUUCUCUCAAACAGCCAAAAAUAGUACGCGAGUUGAAAUAAAACACCUCAAAUAAUAUCGAACGGAAUUAACUGUUAGAAAUGAUUGGAUCUCUGCGAACCAGGUUCAACAUACCAAUAUUUCCAACUACUUGCAAAGCGAUUUCUCAUAUAAAGAUGUAAAAAGAAUAAAAAAGCUGGAUAGAAAUAAAACGAAACAAUAUUGAAAAUAUGAACUCGACGCGAUUCGAACUCAAAGGUUUGUCGAGACAGUCCAAACGACCUACCACUAAGCCACCGAGGGAGAACGAAAGUUUAUGUCAAAUUAAACACUAUAGCUAAUUGUCGUCACGCGCUUAUCUUAUGCGGUGAAAUAGUUUAUUAGGCGGUGAAUUGCGGUGAAGAAUAUAGGCCGUUCGAGG
rnacentral:lncRNA from 1 species